rnacentral:rRNA from 1 species
AGCGAACGCUGGCGGCAGGCCUAACACAUGCAAGUCGAACGGAUCCUUCGGGAUUAGUGGCGGACGGGUGAGUAACACGUGGGAACGUGCCCUUUGGUUCGGAACAACUCAGGGAAACUUGAGCUAAUACCGGAUGUGCCCUUCGGGGGAAAGAUUUAUCGCCAUUGGAGCGGCCCGCGUCUGAUUAGCUAGUUGGUGAGGUAAAGGCUCACCAAGGCGACGAUCAGUAGCUGGUCUGAGAGGAUGAUCAGCCACAUUGGGACUGAGACACGGCCCAAACUCCUACGAGAGGCAGCAGUGGGGAAUCUUGCGCAAUGGGCGAAAGCCUGACGCAGCCAUGCCGCGUGAAUGAUGAAGGUCUUAGGAUUGUAAAAUUCUUUUACCAGGGACGAUAAUGACGGUACCUGGAGAAAAAGCCCCGGCUAACUUCGUGCCAGCCGCCGCAGUAAGAC